rnacentral:sRNA from 1 species
AUUUUUUCAUUUUGGUUUACAUAUUACAAUUACUCUAUUACAAACACAAAUCUAGUAAAAUACUAAAAUGGGAAAUUUACAUUUAUAACCUACAAAAAUAUUAUAAUUAGGUAACUAACACUCUAAAAAAAAGUAACCAAUAUUGUUUGUAUUUUCUGUAAUAAUGCCAAUACUAUCCCUGUUUGAAAUACACGCUCUUCAUCUUCUCCCUUCCAUAGAAAACCAAUUAUUCUCUUUCACUAACUAUUAACUUUUGAACAUGGGUUUGGCUCUAAUAAAUUUCAGUCCACCGUUUAUGAAGCUUUUGAUUUUGCCAACGAUUAACAGAGGUGUAUUGGGCACAGAAGCAAGACAGUUAAUUUUCGGAAAUGACAUUUCGGUUUUGCUCGAAAUUGAAUUAGAGGUUUUGAUUUACACAGGCAAGACUUCAGAUUUUGUUGGAGUCUUUGGUUUUUUUUAAGAGACUUUGGU